rnacentral:rRNA from 1 species
CACGUAGGGCGCAAGCGUUGUCCGGAAUUAUUGGGCGUAAAGCGCGUGUAGGCGGCUUUGCAAGUCGGGUGUGAAAGCCCUCAGCUCAACUGAGGAAGUGCGCCCGAAACUGCAGAGCUUGAGUGCCGGAGAGGGUGGCGGAAUUCCCCAAGUAGAGGUGAAAUUCGUAGAUAUGGGGAGGAACACCGGUGGCGAAAGCGGCUCUCUGGUCCGGACCUGACGCUGAGGCGCGAAAGCCGUGGGGAGCAAACAGG